ACUUGUCUAGAGUCCCUCUUAGUUUCCUAAACUGUAGAGAUUACAAUGUUAACUAUUUGCUCAAAUGCAAGUAACCUGUGUUAGCUGGAAAGAAUUAAGCUGAUUGCAGUUGCUGGCACACAACCUCUGUUUACGAAUCUUUUGAACUGUCUUAUUGUUUAGAGUGGGCACGUAGGUUACAAGCUGUUCUUUAAAUCUUUCCGUCCAGUAAGCUCUGAGACUGCUCCUUGGCUGGCUCUGACUCACUGUUCUCUAGUCACCAUCUUGUGAGACAUCGCUCGCGGCACGGGCUGUUUGGUCUGACUUGUGUAAUGAGAACAGCUCCGGGACGGCAGGGAUGAGUUACUGGGGUAGCUGGACAAGAGGAGGAAGGCACCCCCCAUGUGUGCUGCUUGCCCUUGUGCAUUUCCCCACCAGCUUCUGGACUUUUUCAGGGCUCUUCUUGCUCAUUGCUGCUUCUCCUUGUGCUAGAAGGUAUCUCCUUUCCUGCCCACAUUAUUGUUGCCCUCUUACUUCUGGAUUUUAAACAGUAUCUUAGCUGAAAGUAUUUCUGUGACUAGUGAAAGGGAAGAGAAGAACUUGCUUGUGAAGUGCCAAUGUAAUGGCUGCCCUGGCUGCAUGUCAAGGGAUGGCUUCUAAAUGCUACGUGAAAACUCAGAUUGAGCUUAAAGCUUUGCGAAUUUAUCCAGUGAAAUCACCUGAAUGUAAUGUUUAGUGGCAAUAAGAAAACUGUGUUAUUGUCUUGAAGCUAAUUCCUGUGUAAAGGCAGCUGUGGGAAGGAGCAGAGCGAGGCAGAGAUCAAGAUCCUUGCUGUGUUUUGGGAGACUUUGCCCUCCCAUCUCUGGGCAUUUCGGGCAGCUCUCAGUGCUGCACAUGUGUGGUGUUCUUGUUUUUUUUAAAGCAAACAAAGAGAAAACCUCACUGACCUGCUGAUACACCCCAAUGUGGACUCAAGUAACUUUUUUACUGUGCUAUGUUUAACGUGCUGGUGAUACCCACAGUUACCUGUACCUAAAGCAUGCUGCUCCCUCUGUGGUGAGAGUAAUGCAGUCAUUAAAAUGUGCUGUGAACUUACCAGAGGGGAAAAAAAAAAAAAAAAACCAAAAAAA